UACGUAGGGUGCAAGCGUUGUCCGGAAUUAUUGGGCGUAAAGAGCUUGUAGGCGGUUUGUCGCGUCUGCUGUGAAAUUUCGGGGCUCAACCCCGAACUUGCAGUGGGUACGGGCAGACUAGAGUGUGGUAGGGGAGACUGGAAUUCCUGGUGUAGCGGUGAAAUGCGCAGAUAUCAGGAGGAACACCGGUGGCGAAGGCGGCUCUCUGGGACGGUACUGACGCUGAGACGCGAAAGCGUGGGGAGCGAACAGG
rnacentral:rRNA from 1 species